rnacentral:lncRNA from 1 species
AACAACGGAAGUGAAAGCUCUAUACUAAAACAUAUAACCAUACACGAUAUUUGAUUACAUUUUAACCAGAUACAAGUAAACUACAACUAUUACAUUCUUUUUUCAUUCACUAACAAAUUCUUUUACAUGCUUGUCAUUCUCCCAAAAUACAUGAUUGUUUACAACUUUACAAUUCUAAAUCAACAAAAGAAAGUUGAUAUAUGAACCAAAAAGGGAAUGACUAAAAUGCAUAACUUCGGUGGCCACUAGCUAUGGCGCGAUACCCUUGCCUCGAUCCUCCGCCGCCCCGCUCACGCUUGGAUCUGUAGGGUUAGUGGUGUGAGAACUACAAAGAAGUUUUCAGUGGAUUCGGCAACCGACCUCGACUUACCCACUAGGUCUAUUCAGGCAUAAGUAUUUCAAA